CCCCUAAGAUUCACCCAUGCAUGUUUUUGACAUUUGAAAAAUGGACUGCUCAGUAAUACUCACUUUAUUUUAUGUAAAUUUUUAAUUAACUACGUUAAAGUGUAGAUAAGAUGUUUACAGUAAGAGUGAGACCUAUCAGCUAGUUGUUAAGGUAAUGGCUUAACAAGGCUGUGACGGGUAACGGUAUUACUUUGUAAUAUUCCGGAGAAGGAGCCUGAGAGACGGCUACUAAGUCUAAGGAUUGCAGCAGGGGCGAAACUUGACCUAUGGAUUUUAUCUGAGGCAGUUAUGGGAAGUAAUAUUAUAUUGUUUCAUAUUUUAAAAGUAUAUGAGGUGAUUAAUUGGAGGGCAAAUCAAGUGCCAGCAGCCGCGGUAAUACUUGUUCCAAGAGUGUGUAUGAUGAUUGAUGCAGUUAAAAAGUCCGUAGUUUAUUUUUUUAUUAAGCAAUAUAAGGUGUACUGUAGAUUAGGAAGGGAAAAAACAUGC
rnacentral:rRNA from 1 species